UUUCUUUUCCCUUUUCCCGCUGGAAAUUUAAGCAUAUAAGUAAGCGGAGGAUAAGAAACUAAAUAGGAUUCCCUUAGUAAUGGCGAAUGAACAGGGAUGAGCUCAACAUGGAAAUUUUGGCUCCUGGCCACGAAUUGUAAUCUCUCGACGCGCUGCCAGCAGGGGCGUAGAUGUAAGCCGCUUGGAAAAGCGAAUCACUGAGGGUGAGAAUCCUGUUCGUCAUCUGCAGACCUCUGUGUACGGCACACGUUCUAAGAGUCACGUUCCUUGGGAUUGGAGCGCAAAUUGGGUGGUAAAUUUCAUCUAAAGCUAAAUAUGGGUUCGAGACCGAUAGCAAACAAGUACCAUGAGGGAAAGAUGAAAAGGACUUUGAAAAGAGAGUUAAAAGUGCCUGAACUUGCUGAAAGGAAAGCGGAUGGAACCAGUUUUGCUUGGUGAGAUUGUCGCACGCAGCAAUGAUCACCUUCUAUUCCAGCGAAAGCGGGGCGGUGGGCUGUGAUUUGUUCGGUGUGAUGUUUCUUGCCUUGUGUGUCAUCAUCAGUUUGGAGGUGGGGACAACUCUUGGGACCUGGUAGCUCGCCCCUGGGUGAGUGAAUGUGCCUUGCGGGACCCACCAACAAACAGUUCAACCUUUGUGGGGCUGCGUUGCUUCGUGUUGCGUGCUCUGGCGAGCUUCACACGCGUGGCACCUUCCUUACAAGCUAAUGGUGACGAAAUGGUUCUAUUCGACCCGUCUUGAAA
rnacentral:rRNA from 1 species